UUUUGCAUAUUGCCAUUUGGACAGCGGAUUCGUAGAUCAAUCUCAUUGAUAAGUGAAGAUACCUUAUCAGUGUAAGUCGAGGCGACAUACAUCAAUAAGCCAGUUGUUGCCAACCGUUGACGAGAAAUGAAGUUGAUGCGGGCGGACCUAAGACAAAUUAAGUGGUGCGAUUUGCUGUGGCACUGGGCUCAUUUUGCAUAUUGCCAUUUGGACAGCGGAUUCGUAGAUCAAUCUCAUUGAUAAGUGAAGAUACCUUAUCAGUGUAAGUCGAGGCGACAUACAUCAAUAAGCCAGUUGUUGCCAACCGUUGACGAGAAAUGAAGUUGAUGCGGGCGGACCUAAGACAAAUUAAGUGGUGCGAUUUGCUGUGGCACUGGGCUCAUUUUGCAUAUUGCCAUUUGGACAGCGGAUUCGUAGAUCAAUCUCAUUGAUAAGUGAAGAUACCUUAUCAGUGUAAGUCGAGGCGACAUACAUCAAUAAGCCAGUUGUUGCCAACCGUUGACGAGAAAUGAAGUUGAUGCGGGCGGACCUAAGACAAAUUAAGUGGUGCGAUUUGCUGUGGCACUGGGCUCAUUUUGCAUAUUGCCAUUUGGACAGCGGAUUCGUAGAUCAAUCUCAUUGAUAAGUGAAGAUACCUUAUCAGUGUAAGUCGAGGCGACA